CUGCGGUUAUACUUUUAAAUAAAAUUUUAUAUAUUAUUAAAUUUAAAUUAACUUUUAUUCUGUUUAAAGAUUUUUAUAAAAGUUUGUUAAAAAUUUUAAAAAAUAAAUUUACAAAACUGGAAUAGAACCCAGGUAUGAAAAUAUUCAGGGUAUUAUUUAUAAAACCUAAAUUGCAUGGCAGUGAUUUAUUCUGAUUAGAGAAUUUUGGUCCUUAAAUUGACAAUCCUCAAUCUUAUUUACUUAUUUUUAGUUUAUGUGUGGUUGUAAAAAAAAAAUAAAUUUUCAUUUAAAUUUUAACCAAAUGACAUAUAGCUUUUAUACGGGAAACUGAAAUGCAAUAAACUAGAUAUUAAGAGAUGCUAGGAUUUAAUAGUAGGUCUGAGCCUGAUCGAA
rnacentral:rRNA from 1 species